rnacentral:rRNA from 1 species
AUGGAGCCGACCUUGAAAUACCACCCUUUAAUGUUUGAUGUUCUAACGUUGACCCGUAAUCCGGGUUGCGGACAGUGUCUGGUGGGUAGUUUGACUGGGGCGGUCUCCUCCUAAAGAGUAACGGAGGAGCACGAAGGUUGGCUAAUCCUGGUCGGACAUCAGGAGGUUAGUGCAAUGGCAUAAGCCAGCUUGACUGCGAGCGUGACGGCGCGAGCAGGUGCGAAAGCAGGUCAUAGUGAUCCGGUGGUUCUGAAUGGAAGGGCCAUCGCUCAACGGAUAAAAGGUACUCCGGGGAUAACAGGCUGAUACCGCCCAAGAGUUCAUAUCGACGGCGGUGUUUGGCACCUCGAUGUCGGCUCAUCACAUCCUGGGGCUGAAGUAGGUCCCAAGGGUAUGGCUGUUCGCCAUUUAAAGUGGUACGCGAGCUGGGUUUAGAACGUCGUGAGACAGUUCGGUCCCUAUCUGCCGUGGGCGCUGGAGAACUGAGGGGGGCUGCUCCUAGUACGAGAGGACCGGAGUGGACGCAUCACUGGUGUUCGGGUUGUCAUGCCAAUGGCACUGCCCGGUAGCUAAAUGCGGAAGAGAUAAGUGCUGAAAGCAUCUAAGCACGAAACUUGCCCCGAGAUGAGUUCUCCCUGACUCCUUGAGAGUCC